rnacentral:rRNA from 1 species
GAUGAACGCUGGCGGUAUGCUUAACACAUGCAAGUCGAACGGACUCUUCGGAGUUAGUGGCGGACGGGUGAGUAACGCGUGAGAAUCUGGCUUUGAGUUCGGGACAACCACUGGAAACGGUGGCUAAUACCGGAUGUGCCGAGAGGUAAAAGAGAAAUUGCCUGAAGAUGAGCUCGCGUCUGAUUAGCUAGUUGGUGAGGUAAAGGCUCACCAAGGCAGCGAUCAGUAGCUGGUCUGAGAGGAUGACCAGCCACACUGGGACUGAGACACGGCCCAGACUCCUACGGGAGGCAGCAGUGGGGAAUUUUCCGCAAUGGGCGAAAGCCUGACGGAGCAAUACCGCGUGAGGGAAGAAGGCUCUUGGGUUGUAAACCUCUUUUCUUAGGGAAGAACAAAAUGACGGUACCUAAGGAAUCAGCAUCGGCUAACUCCGUG